AGAAGAAAGAAGUAUGGGUAUUUCAAUUGCUGGCUGUGUUCCUGAAAGAAAUGAAUAGUAAACAAAUAGUAGUACUUCUCUUUAACAUAGAAUGCUCAUCGGAUUGCUGUAAGAAGUGACAGUAGCACUGGUAUCAAAAGAAGAAAUGAAAAAACACAAGAGGAAAUAAAAAAUUAUCCAGAAGCCUAAGCAAAAUGAAAAGAAACUCAUUUCUAAAAGUUUACUGAACUGAAACUGAGAAACUCACCAGAAAUCGUCAGCUGAAGGGGAAUGAACUCCAGUGAAGACAAAGUA